GGGGAAGUAGCUCAGUUGGCUAGAGCGCAGCAUUCGCAUUGCUGAGGUCGAGGGUUCGACUCCCUUCUUCUCCACCA
rnacentral:tRNA from 1 species